rnacentral:hammerhead_ribozyme from 1 species
AUCUAACUGAUGAGUCCCAAAUAGAACAAAAUGUGUCCUGGAU